UACGAAGGGGGCUAGCGUUGCUCGGAAUCACUGGGCGUAAAGCGCACGUAGGCGGAUUGCUAAGUCAGGGGUGAAAUCCUGGAGCUCAACUCCAGAACUGCCUUUGAUACUGGCGAUCUUGAGUCCGGGAGAGGUGAGUGGAACUGCGAGUGUAGAGGUGAAAUUCGUAGAUAUUCGCAAGAACACCAGUGGCGAAGGCGGCUCACUGGCCCGGUACUGACGCUGAGGCACGAAGGCGUGGGGAGCAAACAGG
rnacentral:rRNA from 1 species